rnacentral:rRNA from 1 species
CUGCUAUCGGGAUAGGACUAAGACAUGCUAGUCGAGUGACUCAGGCAAAACGAGUCACGGCACACAGCUCAGUAACACGUGGCUAAUCUGCCCUUAGGACGAGAACAACCCCGGGAAACUGGGGCUAACUCUUGAUAGGCGAAGAACUCUGGAAUGAGUCUUUACCUAAAAAGAUUCACGUUAUCCUCGUGAACCUGCCUAAGGAUGAGGCCGCGACCGAUCAGGUUGUUGGCGAGGUAAUGGCUCACCAAGCCUUUUACCGGUGCGGGCCGUGGGAGCGGGAGCCCGGAGAUGGGUACUGAGACAAGGACCCAGGCCCUACGGGGCGCAGCAGUCGCGAAACCUUUGCAAUACACGAAAGUGUGACAGGGCUAUCCCGAGUGCCAUCCGCUGAGGAAGGCUUUUACCCAGUCUAGAACGCUGGGGGAAUAAGGAGAGGGCAAGUCUGGUGUCAGCCGCCGCGGUAAUACCAGCUCUUCGAGUGGUGUGGAUGUUUAUUGGGCCUAAAGCAUCCGUAGCUGGCUAAGUUAGUCCCUUGUUAAAUCCACCGAAUUAAUCGUUGGAUUGCGGGGGAUACUGCUUGGCUAGGGGACGAGAGAGGCAGACGGUAUUUUCGGGGUAGGGGUGAAAUCCUAUAAUCCCGGGAAGACCACCAGUGGCGAAGGCUGUCUGCUAGAACGCGCCCGACGGUGAGGGAUGAAAGCUGGGGGAGCGAACCGGAUUAGAUACCCGGGUAGUCCCAGCUGUAAACGAUGCAGGCUAGGUGUUUGGACGGCCACGUGCCGUUCUAGUGCCGCAGGGAAGCUGUUAAGCCUGCCGCCUGGGGAGUACGAUCGCAAGACU